rnacentral:misc_RNA from 1 species
AGGAAUUUCAGCGCUAGGCAAAUCAAAAUAGCUCAAAAUCUUAUCGACCCGUUCCUCAAAUGGAACCGACUCAUUAUAAAACAUACAAAACCCUUCAGGGCAAUUCCAAGAACCUUUAUGCACCUCAGACCCAGGCCAAAAAUAGGCAGCAGCCCUUAACCCAUGAUUGGCCACAGUCUCCCAGAGUGGCUCACCAAGCCACCAUUUGGGCCCUAAUCAUUACUCAAUUGUUACUGGGCUUUACCCUGCUUAUCAUGGCAUUAUCAACAGGGUAAAGCCCAGUAACAAUUGAGUAAUGAUUAGGGAAAGUAAGAGUAGGAAAUACUGGAAUCAAACCCGUCACGGCCUCAGUCCCGUUGGCGAUCAAACGG